CGCCUCUGUGCGGAUGUACGUUGUAACAUAGCUGUAGUUGUGUUGUCUAGUCUUAUAAGACUGAACCUAAUGACGCCACUUCCACAAUGAAGACGCAUCUUCCAUACAUCUAGAUGUACGAACGCACGAACACGUGGCACGACCAGAUGGCCUAGAGAGUAGCCUCGCCCCAGACGCAGUGUGGAUUGCAGCUCCGGAUGCGC